GAAAGCUUCUAAUCAUUUCUAUUCUCUUUAAUCUGGGGCAUUUGAAACGUAAGUAAGUGACUGGUGCGGCAGCCCUCCCUGUGCAGUUCAAAUGUGUGAGUCACAGCCUUGGAGAGCAGGAAGCCGGCAAGGAAUGUGGUGACGUGGUUUCAGGAUCCAUCUGGCAGAGGUCUGUGAUCAGCCUGUUGGAAAACCCACCUCUGGGCACGGUUGCACGAAUGGAGGUUCUGAGCAGGAGGUGGGCCUGAUCAAAGUUGUUUAAUCUGACUUUUAAGGACGGAAAUACUGGAACUCUGGAACCCUGUUGAGAUGCAAUUGCAGGAAUCUAAAUAAAAGGAUCCAAGGCUAAGCGACCAACGGAAAACUUGAAGAACUGCGCUGCAGCCUAAAGUGUGGGUGCGCUAUUGGACAGAGGAGACUUUCAAUGCGGAUAAUGGAAUGUACCAGCCAGAAGAGUGCCAAGAAGAAAGAAAUUUAAGCACAAGAAAUACUCCCCAUGAAGACAGAGUCACUCAGGGAGAAUAUGAUGUGACAACAGAGGUGGAGAUUAGAGUGUCAAAUCUGCAAACUAAGGAAGACCAAGAAUUGAUUCACAGCACCAGAGGCCAGAGAGAUACAGAGUCACAAUGUGGCACAACCCUCCAAAUCCUUCAGUUCCUGACUUUAGAACAGCGAUGGACUGAAUUUGUCUUCAAUCCAUCUGGUAGAUCAUGGUUAGCCUAAGGAACCAAUGCAGAGAAGUCACCACAAGACUAAAAUCAGUGCUGUUCAAGAGGCUGUCACUGCAGUUGGUUAUAUCCCAAUAUUUAGUAAAUGCCACAAACUACUGUGUAGCAUGAGUGAAAGAAGAAGGUGACGUAGGCACUGACAAAGUUGGUGUUGUCAGGGCAGUUUGCUACUUGGGAGGCCCUCAAGUAUUGGAGUGUGAAUUGCAUUGUGAGCAGGAGGAAAUGAGGGAGCAUGGGACAAGAGAGAAUAUAAAGACAUAUUGUAGGUUGCUUCCCAGGCUCCUAUUACUUGUUGAGUAGAUAUUUGGGAGUUUAAUUGGAAUCUAAAUAAGAUUCUAAAAUCUUUUAAGAGCAACCUCUGAAAAGAAUGGAGGUCUAGAAAAUACUUCUAAGUGCAAAUAAAGGUGUGUUUCAGACAUUAAAGUAAGGAAAAAAAUAUAAGGAAUUCUGGUUAAAACUUAGUGUAUUCCUGGGAGUUUCCCUAGUUCAUUUUUCUUGAUAACCCCAUAAUGGCUCCCUCUAUCAAGAUUUGUCUUUCCUUGAUCUUCCUCUCUUGUCUUUCCCAUAACUCCAGAAGGAUGACCCCAACUAAGAAUCUAAGCAAUAGGGUAUCCCUUAAUUGCCCUUCCCCUGUAGUCAGAUUGAUGACUACCUUAAUUGUCAUCAUAGAACCUCAUCCAGUAACUGAUGGAAGCAGAUACAAAGAUCUAUAGCUAAUAACUGGGUUGAACUCCUGGAGCCCAGUCAUAGAGAGGAAGGAACGAUAAUAAAUAUAGGGGUCAAGAUCAUGAUGGGAAAAUCCACAGAAACUGAUGACCCAAGCUAGUGGGAGCACACUGACUCCAGACUGGCAGCUAGGGAACCUGCAUAAGACCCUCUGAAUGUGAGUGUGAGUUGUGGGGCUUGGGCAGUGAAACCAGUACUUAUCC
rnacentral:lncRNA from 1 species